UACGUAGGGGGCGAGCGUUGUCCGGAAUGAUUGGGCGUAAAGGGCGCGUAGGCGGCUUUGCAAGUCAGUAGUGGAAGUCCAUUUUUUCAAGGAUGGAAGUGCUAUUGAAACUGUGCAGCUUGAGUGCAGGAGAGGUUAUCGGAAUUCCCGGUGUAGCGGUGAAAUGCGUAGAGAUCGGGAGGAACACCAGUGGCGAAGGCGGGUGACUGGACUGCAACUGACGCUGAGGCGCGAAAGUGUGGGGAGCAAACAGGAUUAGAUACCCCCGUA
rnacentral:rRNA from 1 species